rnacentral:rRNA from 1 species
UCCAGAGAUUUCCGAAUGGGGAAACCCAGCAUGAGUUAUGUCAUGUUAUCGAUAUGUGAAUACAUAGCAUAUCAGAAGGCACACCCGGAGAACUGAAACAUCUUAGUACCCGGAGGAAGAGAAAGAAAAUUCGAUUCCCUUAGUAGCGGCGAGCGAAACGGGAAGAGCCCAAACCAACAAGCUUGCUUGUUGGGGUUGUAGGACACUCUAUACGGAGUUACAAAGGACGACAUUAGACGAAUCAUCUGGAAAGAUGAAUCAAAGAAGGUAAUAAUCCUGUAGUCGAAAAUGUUGUCUCUCUUGAGUGGAUCCUGAGUACGACGGAGCACGUGAAAUUCCGUCGGAAUCUGGGAGGACCAUCUCCUAAGGCUAAAUACUCUCUAGUGACCGAUAGUGAACCAGUACCGUGAGGGAAAGGUGAAAAGCACCCCGGAAGGGGAGUGAAAUAGAACCUGAAACCGUGUGCUUACAAGUAGUCAGAGCCCGUUAAUGGGUGAUGGCGUGCCUUUUGUAGAAUGAACCGGCGAGUUACGAUUUGAUGCAAGGUUAAGCAGUAAAUGUGGAGCCGUAGCGAAAGCGAGUCUGAAUAGGGCGUUUAGUAUUUGGUCGUAGACCCGAAACCAGGUGAUCUACCCUUGGUCAGGUUGAAGUUCAGGUAACACUGAAUGGAGGACCGAACCGACUUACGUUGAAAAGUGAGCGGAUGAACUGAGGGUAGCGGAGAAAUUCCAAUCGAACCUGGAGAUAGCUGGUUCUCUCCGAAAUAGCUUUAGGGCUAGCCUCAAGUGAUGAUUAUUGGAGGUAGAGCACUGUUUGGACGAGGGGCCCCUCUCGGGUUACCGAAUUCAGACAAACUCCGAAUGCCAAUUAAUUUAACUUGGGAGUC